GUAGGGUGCGAGCGUUAAUCGGAAUUACUGGGCGUAAAGCGUGCGCAGGCGGUUUUAUAAGUCAGACGUGAAAUCCCCGGGCUCAACCUGGGAACUGCGUUUGAGACUGUAAGGCUAGAGGAUGGCAGAGGGGGGUAGAAUUCCACGUGUAGCAGUGAAAUGCGUAGAGAUGUGGAGGAAUACCGAUGGCGAAGGCAGCCCCCUGGGCUAUAACUGACGCUCAUGCACGAAAGCGUGGGGAGCAAAC
rnacentral:rRNA from 1 species